GUGAAUCAUCGAGUCUUUGAACGCACAUGGCACUCUCUAGGUCUUCUAGGGAGUAUACCUGUUUGAGAAUCAUAAAUAUAUAACUAGACUUGGUUAGAGUCUGACUUGAGGUUGUCACUGCUAGUUCAGUGUGCCUCUAAACAUGGAGGGACUAGGCUGUUAGCCUGGUAGACGUUGUGUGAUGCGAGGAAGUAUCCUCAAAGCGCAACGUGUCUAUCAGUGCGAGUCGGUCGCUCAUAGUUCCUAUACAUACACUUGUUUGUAUACUUUUGAAUGUGAUCUCAAAUCAGGCAAGACUACUCGCUGAACUUAAGCAUAUCAAUAAGGCGAGG
rnacentral:rRNA from 1 species